GCUCCGGUGGCCGAGUGGUUAGAGCGUCCGCCUCGGAUGCGGGAGGUCGUGGGUUCUAUCUCCGGUCGAGUUACA